rnacentral:rRNA from 1 species
UACGUAGGGUGCAAGCGUUAAUCGGAAUUACUGGGCGUAAAGCGUGCGCAGGCGGUUCUAUAAGACAGAUGUGAAAUCCCCGGGCUCAACCUGGGAACUGCAUUUGUGACUGUAGAGCUGGAGUGCGGCAGAGGGGGAUGGAAUUCCGCGUGUAGCAGUGAAAUGCGUAGACAUGCGGAGGAACACCGAUGGCGAAGGCAAUCCCCUGGGCCUGCACUGACGCUCAUGCACGAAAGCGUGGGGAGCAAACAGG